UACGAAGGGGGCUAGCGUUGUUCGGAAUUAUUGGGCGUACAGGGCGCGUAGGCGGUUGGGUAAGCCCUCCGUGAAAUCUCCGGGCCUAACCCGGAAAGUGCGGAGGGGACUGCUCGGCUAGAGGAUGGGAGAGGAGCGCGGAAUUCCCGGUGUAGCGGUGAAAUGCGUAGAGAUCGGGAGGAAGGCCGGUGGCGAAGGCGGCGCUCUGGAACAUUUCUGACGCUGAGGCUCGAAAGCGUGGGGAGCAAACAGG
rnacentral:rRNA from 1 species